UGUGGGGGUGGGGGUCAGGGAAGAUUAGGAAGGAGCAUCUAGAACUCCACCAGCUUUUUGCUGAGCUGUAUACAAGGUUCUAUGAAUGUGUCCCCAUCUUUCCGUCUUUUGUUGAAAAUACUGAGAAGGACCAAGGAACACAGCAGAAGUCACACAGCUGUGGGUGGGGCAGGGCCACUGUCCAGGGAAGGAGGACUGAAUGGGCUUUAGGGAGAUAGAUGGGUGCAGGUCUGACAGAGGACAGCAUGGAAGGAGACUGACCCUUCCCCACUCAGCACCCAGAGUGUCCUGCCAUCAUUUACCCCUCCCUGCCCCCCGCCCCAGGCCUAGCACGUCUUUCCCUAUGUCUUAGUUGGCUUGGGCUGUGGUAACAAAAUACCACAGACAGGGUAGCUCAUAAACAGCAGAAGUCCGUGUCUCUUCUGGAGGCUGGGAAGUCCAAAUCUGCACUAGGAGAUUUGGCACCUGGCGAGGACCAGCUUCCUUGCAGACAGCUGUCUUCUCACUGUAACCUCAUAUGAAGGAAGGGGAAAGGGGUCUCCCUUGGGCCUGUUUUAUGAGACACUAAAAUUCCAUUAAAGAGAGCUCUAUCUUCAUGACCCCCUAAAGGUCCCACCUCCUGAUGCCCUCAUCUUGAGGCUUAGGAUUUCAAUAUAUUAAAUCUGGGGGAACACACGUGCACACCACAGCACCCUUUGCUCAGCGCCUUCUGCCCUUAGAAGGCACAGACCCACCCGGAUGCGAGGACGUGCGCUGCCUCCCUGAGCUGACUGGGGACUAUUAAAACAAGAACUUCAUAUUUUUUUUGGCGGUGGGGUGGGUGUGUUCCAAGUAUGUCGCUCGGUGCCUUGGCUUACAAUAGGUGUCCAGUACAUUUUACUGAGUAAAUAAAUAAUAGAUUCCUUAGUUUUUCUAUGGAUUGGACUGGGGAAAGACCCUCUCUGAUGUCACCCAUUCAUCAAGGGCUGCACUCAUGUUCUUGUAGGGUCUGGGCUGUCUCUGCCCUCUGUGGUAACACUGCCAGCCUCAGCCCAGCUAGGGCUGAAGCCUUCUCCUGGCCCCACAGAAUCCUGCAUGGAAGCCUCAGGCUAGGGUGACCAGUGGGACGUAGCAGGACAAAGGGCUCCCGCUGGCGAACCGACUCCACAGCCUUCAUUUAUAUGAAAUGUGACUACAUCACUCAAAACCUAGUGCCUGGCCUUGGUCGGUGCAGGUAAUGAUGAUGUAGGCUCAUUUAUGCAAGAUUAUCCUUUUAUCACAUUUCCAGACUCAUUUAUGAGGCUCAUGUUUCUCCCCGAGGGCGUCAUCAAGCAAGUUAAGUUGUACUAUUUCCCUCCUGCAGCGAACUGGCGGGAGCCUCCCUCGUUGACGGAUGAGGCCGGCUGCCUUUGCCAAAUAGGGUCGGCGUGAUAGAUCUUUUACUUGUGAAUAUUAUAGCUGGAAAUUAGCAUGUUUAUUGAGGUAGAAUGUGUUUGUUUACAUUCCACUACCCAUGGCAUUACCUCUUAUGACCUGACUUAUUUAGUUGAGGAUAAGCACAAAUGAUCCGCAUUUUGGCACCCACAAAAAAUUAAUGAACUUUCAGAUAUAGAAUUCAGCCUUAAGUAAACACAUCAGUGAGGUGAGUGGGGGCAGAGGGGCUGGGAAGGGGGCUGGGGAGCUGGGUGCUGAGCCAGGUAGCCCUCCUGAUGCUCUGCUCUGAUCUGGAAGGGGCAGGAGGUCAGGGGUGGAGGAAGAAGUGAUCCAGCAUCCCUGAGCAGUGCCCAGGGCGAGUGCCCCACAUGUCAGCUUUAUCGAGGUGGCUUCUGGGUGAUGGAGGAGGGAGCUGAGGGAGGACCUGGGUUGUGGACCCCUUUCCUGGGGAGUUUCCUGGGCUACCUGUGUCUUUGAUCGGGAGUGAGAAGCCUGGUCCAGGCUGCAGACCUACAAUGGGGAAGGAGGAUACAUGCACAAGGGUGAUGAAGACCCAGGUGAGUGAUUGACACACUCAAGAGUCCAAGCCACCACCUGAGCCUGCUCCUUUCCUAACCCUUCCAUCUGCUGUGUCUGUGAAACCCAGCUUUUCUCUCCACCCCAGGUUUGGUUAUAGGCAGCAUGAUCUGGGGUGAAACACUUUCCUGUUUUAGAAAAGGAAACUGAGGUUCAGAGAAGAGAAAGGAUUUGGCCAAGGUCUUGGAGGCAGAGGCAAACCAGAAGCCUGACUCCCAAGUCCCCUGCUGCCCCCGAUGUAACCGCCCAAGGGUUCACCUUGCCUGCUGCCGAGACAGAGCCAAUUCAUCAAGACAGGGGAAUUGCAAUAGAGAGAGAGUAAUUCACACAGAGCCAGCCAUUUGGGAGACCAAAGUUUUAUUAUUACUCAAAUCAGUCUCCCUGAGCAUUUGGGGAGCAGAGUUUUUAAGGAUAACUUGGUGGGCUGGGGGAGGCAGUGGUCCAGGAGUGCUGAUUGAUCGGGGUGAAAUCAUAGGGAGUCAAAGCUGUCUUCUUGCACUGAGUCAGUUCUUGGGUGGGGGCCACAAGAGCAGAGGAGCCAAUUUAUUGAUCUGGAUGAUGCCAGCUGAUCCAUCAAGUGCAGGGUCUGCAAAAUAUCUGAAGCUCUGAUCUUAGGAGGAGUUUAGGGAGGGUCAGAAUCUUGUAGCCUCCAGCUGCCUAAAUCCUAAAACAUAAUUUCUAAUCUUAUGGCUAAAGUUAGUCUCACAAAGGCAAUCUAGUCCCAGGCAAGAAGGAGGUCAGCUUUGGGAAAGGGCUAUUGCCGUCUUUGUUGUGGCUCACGCCUGUAAUCUUAGCACUUUGGGAGGCCGAGGCGGGUGGAUCACAAGGUCAAGAGAUCGAGACCAUCCUGGUCAACAUGGUGAAACCCCAUCUCUACUAAAAAUACAAAAAAUUAGCUGGGCAUGGUGAUGUGUGCCUGUAAUCCCAUCUACUCAGGAGGCUGAGGCAGGAGAAUUGCCUGAACCCAGGAGGCGGAGGUUGCGAUGAGCCGAGAUUGCGCCAUUGCACUCCAGCCUGGGUAACAAGAGCGAAACUCCGUCUCAAAAAAAAUAAUAAUAAAAUAAAAUAAAUAAAUAAACUAUAUACUAUAAACUAAGUUUCUCCCAAAGUUACCCUAUGCCCAGGAAUGAACAAAGACAGGUUGGAGAUUAGAAGCAAGGUGGACUCAGUUACCUUAGGUCUCUCUUACUGUCUCAAUCCUAAUUUUGCAAAAGUGGUUUCAAUUCCUCCCGUUGGGGUUUGAACACCUUAAUCUUAAGGUGUAGGCUGUGAAGAUGGGGAAAGGCCCUUGAUCACUCUGGCUUCUUCCUGCUGACAGGGGACAUGGUGGGAAUGGGAGUGAACCCCAAGGUGAGAAGAGUGGAACCGCUUUGCAACUGUCUCAGUGUACUCACGCAGGCCUGGCUGGGCUUCGAGGCUGGGAGGCAAAAGCAUUCGUGUUCUCAUCUAUAGUUUUACUGCAGGGUUACAGUGAACAGCCUACUGUGAGGUAAAUAACGAGUCCUAGGAUGAGAAGUACAAUUCCCGAUUUUAAAACGGAAGAUCUGGCAGCAUUAGUGUGGGGACUUCUAACCCACAAAGAAUUUAGAAUGUCGUCGAAACUGCAGGAAAAAAAUCCUCGAGAACAGCUAACAACAACACUGUACUAUAUUUCUCUUUUGAAGCGUAAUUUUUCUCUCUCCAGUCUCCAUUUUUAUGAAAAACAAAUCAGGAUUGAAUUGAUUUGUUUACACAAUAAACGUUAGUCUUACUGUACUUGGCUUAUUUGCAUAAAAUGCAGCAAGAAUAACUAUUUUUCACUUAGGCUUUUAAAUUGGCUUUGAUAGAAGAACUCUGUUCCAUGGAGAAUCUCAGAUAAGACUUUUUUUUUUUUUUGAGACGGAGUUUCACUCUUGUUACCCAGGCUGGAGUGCAAUGGCACUCGGCUCACCGCAACCUCCGCCUCCUGGGUUCAAGCAGUUCUCCUGCCUCAGCCUCCCAAGUAGCUGGGACUACAGGCUGCACCACCAUGCCCAGCUAAUUUUUGUAUUUUUAGUAGAGACGGGGUUUCACUAUGUUGACCUGGAGGGUCUCGAUCUCUUGACCUCGUGAUCCACCCGCCUUGGCCUCCCAAAGUGCUGGUAUUAUAGGUGUGAGCCACAGCGCCCGGCUUCAGAUAAGACUUUUAAAAGCUGAACCGAGCCAUGAGUUUGUACACUCAGAUACCUGUGAGUUUGGCAAAUUCCUCUCCUCUUGAGGUCCCAAGAUAACUUGGGAUUUCUGGGCAUGUUAGAAAGUGACAUUCUUUACUUAACUGUGGGUCAGGAACCUUGUACAGGGUCUCUGUGUAAUAAGGUAUGAGGCCAGAUGCCCCAGUGGGCUUUAAUUGGCUCUAUAAGUCACCUUUGAUUCUUUUUUUUUUUUCUGAGAUGGAGUCUUGCCCCGUCACCCAGGCUGGAGUGCAAUGCGGCGACCUGGGCUCACUGCAGCCGCCACCUCCCAGGUUUAAGCACUUCUCCUGCCUCAGCCUCCCAAGUAACUGGGAUUACAGGUGUGCGCCAUCAUGCCUGACUAAUUUUUUGUAUCUUUAGUAGAGACGGGGCUGGCCAGGCUUGGUCUCAAACUCCUGAUCUCGUGAUCCGUCCACCUCGGCCUCCCAAAGUGCUGGUAUCACAGGCAUGAGCCACCGCACCUGGCCUCAACUUUGAUGCUUUAAGGAAGCACGCCAUUCCAGUCAAAGCCUUGGGAAAACAACCAGUGUCUCCAAUUGUAUCCUGUUACAAAAGAAAACAGAUUCUCAUUGCACUUAUGCAAUUAGCUACACUGCCAUAAAUUGAGAACACAAAGAGUUUCCAAAUUCUGGAGAAAUCAGAUAGACAGGAAAAUAUACGCUCCAAAUUUUGUUCACAGGAGUAUAUUUUACUCACUUGUUAAAAGUUGCAAAUAGCUCUAAAGAAUUAAGUUCUCUUGACUCUGAAAACAAAAGGUGUAGCAGUGUUUAACACAUUAGCUGUGCAUGAGAGUCCUAGAAGGUUUUUUUUCUCUAUUCCAAUAGCACAAUUUUUAGAGUUAUCUGAGACCUGCACUCAGAGUCCUAUAUCUGAUUAUAAACUGCCUUUUGAAAAGGACCAAAGCAAGAUGUGGGUGGCAAAAGUCUUUAGGCACUAUUAAAGCUACAAUCGACUAGGAAUUUCGGUUACUUCUGCGGCAUUCAACAAUUUUACAUAACAAUUAUAAUGAUUUAUCAUGUAUACUAAAUUAUAUCAAGAUUGCAAAAGUGUCCCACAAUUUCGGAACACAUACCAACAACAUAUUUAUACAAAUACAAUCCAAAGAAAACCAAACACCUUUCACUCUUCGAUUUGAAAGUUUUUUUUUUUUCUAUCCUGAUGUCACACUCUCCCAGAGUUAGUAAUCAGAAACCCACAUGUAAGAGCACCUGGGCCAGGUGUGGUGGCUCACAUCUGCAAUCCCAGAACUUUGGGAGGCCGAGGAAAGCAGAUCACCUGAGGUCAGCAGUUUGAAAACAGCCUGACCAACGUGCGGAAACCCCGCCUCUACUAAAAAUGCAAAAUUACCCGGGUGUGGUGGCGCGUGCCUGUAGUCCCAGCUACUCGGGAGGCUGAGGCAGGAGAAUUGCUUGAACCUGGGAGGUGGCAGUUGCAGUGAGCCGAGAUCGCACCAUUGCAUUCCAGUGUGGGAAACAAGAGUGAAACUCUGUCUCAAAAAAAAAAAAAAAACACAAAAAACACAAUAACAAAAAAACAGCACCUGUUAAAUUUUAUAGCUGAUUAUAAAAUCAUCUUUUAAAGAGGACCAAAUCGAGACAAUUGUCUGUGGGUGACAGAAACAUUUUAGGGCAGCAGCACAGUUAAAGCCACAAUUGACAGGGAAAUUUGUCUCUGUGGCACACAGCCAUUUAACAUAAUAAUUAUUCUGAUAACACAUCCUAACUCAUAUCAGAAUUACAGCAGUUUUACAUAAUUUUGGAACAUAUACCAAUAAUACAUUUACACAAAUACAGACCGAAGAACGCCAAAGAUCGUUUCAUAUUUGACAAUGCUUCCUGUGUGAUUUUUGAACCAAAUAAGCCAGAUGUCAUUUUUGGACUUUAGGGGACCUAAUAUCUAAAAGAUUAGGCUAGAAAGAGACAUAAUUUAUAAUUUGAUUUUGGAAAGUGCGUCAAAUAUCAAAGGUUUAAAACACCGAAUAUCACAAAAUAGAAUCCUAGGUCACCAUAAGUCAAUCAUUUGGCUGAAAUGAUAACUCCAAAUUUUUUUUAAAAAAGAAAACCUUUACUCUGAUAGAGGAGACUGAGUUUUCCAAACAAGACUCAGUAAUGACAGCAUGAGACCAACCGCCUUGGUGCCUCUUUCUCCUCCCUUUUUGCCCUGCCGUUUACCCAAAGAAGAAACAAACCCCUUUCGUUAUCAUUCAACAUUACCUAAAAAUCAUCUUCAAAAGAGGAAACCAGAUUCCAUGUUUGCAUAGUGCAUCUUUAAUGUUAAAGGUAGUUUUUUAAAUAAAAUUUAAUAUCUUUAUCCAGUUUUAAUUAGCUUGACCAUAAGGUUAAGAGUUUCAUAAACUCUUUAGAACUCUUUACAGUUUUCCAUCUACUUUUAAUUCCUGGGGUUUCACGAGGAAAACAGAGGGAUUCCCACCCCACCCCUCCACGGCCGCCGCCGCAAAAACGGGGUCUGUGGCGCCUCUUCUGUUUUUCCCAAUGAGUCCCAGGCUACCAGAAGUUAUCUUAAGUCCUCUCAUGUGUGUGCAUAAAGAGUGGCAAGCCAAAAAAAAAAAAAUGGAGAAAAAUAAUUCAGUCAACUGAGGAGACACCUUUAUCUAGAAAAACAAGUUCCAAGAAGAGAAAAACAUAAAGGCCUUUAACCUAUACCCAUAGCUUGUUUACCCACUUUACAUUAAGCUGACUUGUAACCGUAGCACUCUUUAAAAAAUCCUUUAAAAUUUUUUUAUUAUGUGACUUUAGCCAUAUCAAGGGGCCAAUAUUUUUGGCUUCUGAAUUCCACCACAGGUGACUUUCCACUGAAAUCAAUCAGUUUUAACUAAGGUUAUAUGUUAACCAUGGACACAUAGGUAGGUGUCUCAAAGGGAUGGUAAGCAGUUUCUUUCUUUCUUUUCUUUUUUUAAAUAAGAUUUAGAAGCUCCCCCAGGUUAGUUUAGGGAAAGGAAAAUUCAAGAUAGAAAAUCAGAAGCUAUCCACGGGCAGGGUGUGUGGGGGGGACCCUCAAUAAAUGGCAAAAUUACAUAAAUAAAAAACCAGAAAGGAGUCAUUGCAGAAGCAAAGAAUAGAACCCAGGCUGCCAUUGUCAAAAACAAAGCCUUAGCUACUGAGUUAGAGCAAUGAGCAGUUUCUAUUGGGUCUUCUCGGAAGGAGCCUAGAGAAGCCGAUUUCAAGCUUGCAAAGGCUUUUAACUGCUCAAGAUAAUUUUUAGGCUAUGUAUGACAUGAACUCCCAAAUUCCUGUCCUCCUGAUGGUUAAAACCAAGAUAAAGGAUCCCCACAUGGUCACGAGGUUAAACUCUUAAGGACACAAAACAAGACAGAAAUUUCAUCCAGUAUUGUUUUCAGAGACCCUCGGCAAAGUUUGUAACUGAGCAGCCUGGCAGGCUUGAGAAGCGGGCUUAUAGGUGUUCUAAAGCCACAUGCUAGCCUGCGAUGCCCCUCUCUCCAUUACAGAACCAGAGAGACAAAUUCUUAGCACAAAGUACAGCAGAUUUGCUACUGCCUAAGACCGGUCUCACAAAUCAUUUUUCUAUUAAUCAGACCCUUGCGGAAAGACAGACAGUGACGUUUACUGUUUACUCAGUAGAAGAAGGUGCAGGAGUCGGACCCUCUAGGAUACUGCUUCAGGGACCCAUAAAAUUUUGUCACCUGUGUCUGGCAGGCAGAUGCCUUUAAAAGCAAUUAACUACAAAUAUGUCUCACUACAGAUGAGGAAACCAAGGCAAAGAGAGAUUUGGAGAUUUUCCAUGAUUUUCCAAGGUCACACAAUGAAACGAAGGGACAGACGUUUCAGGAGCAGAUUCUUGCAUUUCCAACACACCAGAGCUGUCAUAUACAAAUCUCCUCCCCAGUCUCUCUGUACUGCUAUGGGCAUCGGCAAACGGACUGGCUGUUUAGGCACUGGAGAAGCAGGCAGAUCCAGGGCCUGCUAUCUAUGAGAAGGAGCUAGGAACAUGGGGUCUUGGAUCCUAGUGAAGACCCUGAGGUGGGGAAGUAGAUUGGAGCUGGAGACAGACAGGAGGGCGAGAACAUAGCUGCAGGCUGAGGAAUCCCUCCUGGUAAGAAGGGAGGUGAGCAGAUAGCUCUGACCAGCUCGGAGAUCAAGUUUUUAAUACUCUGAUAGGGCAGGCAAGCCAGUACUAUCAAUUAUGGAUAGCUUUCAGCAGCAGGUAACCAAGACUCAAAAAGCUAAGGCUUAACAAAAACAAAACACCAAAGAUGAGGCGUAUCUUUCUCUCUUGCACUGUGAUAUCCAGAGGUGAUCAGAACUGGGGCCACAACUCCAAGGUAGCAUCAAAGACUCCCGUGUCUCCUAGCUUCCUUCUCUGGCAAGUGUCUCUGCUAGUGGCUUUCACCCUAAGGUCACCUUGUAAUCACAAGGUGGCCAUUAGCUCUCCAACCAUUGGGGCCACAUUCUAGGUGGGAGAAAGGAGGAGGGGAAAGGGUGCCUGUCAGCAGAGUCAGCUUCCUUUUUUUUUCUUUUGAGACGGAGUCUUGCUCUUGUUGACCAGGCUGGAGUGCAAUGGCACAAUCUUGGCUCACCACAACCUUUGCCUCCCAGGUUCAAGUGAUUCUUCUGCCUCAGCCUCCCGAGUAGCUGAGAUUACAGGCAUGUGCCACCACACCCAGCUAAUUUUUUGUAUUUUUAGUAGAGACAGAGUUUCUCCAAGUUGGUCAGGCUGGUCUUGAACUCCCGACCUCAGGUGAUCCACCUGCCUCAGCCUCCCAGAGUGCUGGGAUGAUAGGUGUAAGCCACUGCGCCCGGCCAUCAGCUUCCUUUUAAAGGAGACUUCUUAAAAGGAAGCACGCAGGAAGGGAACAACUUUGGCCUUUGCCUCACUGACCAAAAUUGGUCAUGCGGGCACCCGUAGCUGUAAGGGAGGUUGGGAAAUGUAGGUUUUAUAGCUUGUACAUGGCUGCCCCCAGUCAGGGCUGUGUGAACAAGGAAGGGACUCGUAGAUAGGGGGAGAACGGACCACAGUCUCUUGACUCCUUCCCGUAAUUUGCAGAGUCUCGCCCUGUCACCCAGGCUGGAGUUCAGUGGCACCAUCUCGGCUCACUGCAACCUUCACCUCUCAGGUUCAAGCAAUUCUCCUGCGUCAGCCUCCGAAAUAACUGGGAGUACAGGUGCGCACCACCAUGCCCAGUUGCUGGUCACAACCUAGCAUUUGUUGACUGAUUUCAUGAUCCGCCAGUUGUCACAACACACAAGUUGCAAAGCACUAUCUGGAAAAACGAAACAAAAACCAGAAAUAUUUGCCAAGGAGAGAGACAGAGAAGUAAGUUUUCCCAGUGGAGGCAAAAAUCACACAGACCCUGCCCCAGACACCAAGAUGGUGUCUUGGGGCACUGGUUGGGUACAAAGAAAGACAGGUGGAGAGGGACAUGGGGGGUGAGACAGAGAUGGAGGAAGAGCCCCACUCAGACAGAGCUGCACACCCACAGAUGCUGACAUGAUACCCUGAGAAGGGCAGAGCGGGAGGCUGGCAGAAUCAAGUGGAAAACACAGAAGUCCAGGGUUGAGAAGGGAGAGACAACGAGAUACAGGAAAUUAAAAAUGAGAUGCAGAGACAGAUGUGCAAGCAGGCUGGGAAGUGGAGAUUCUAAGGCCGAGACCCAAAGGAGACACAUCCCAGAAUAAGCUGGAGCAUGAGGGGCCUUUGCACAAGCCGGGGUCUCAGAGUCCAGCUGCAGGCUGGGGCUCGGCCACUCAGGAGGCUUGGUUGUCACUUCACCUUUCAGUCCCUGCUUCCUUCUCUGAGAACCCAGCUAGCAGUCCCUCCUUCUCACGAGUGUGGAGAAAGUCACACUGCAAAGCAAGCACCAGGACUUAGGGUCUCUAAAGGAUGGAUGGAUGGAUGGAUGUCUGGAAGGGCUGUCCUCACAGACCCCUGCCCUUGGCCGGACACAGAGUCUUUCACUGCCACCCACCCACAGCGUCCCCAGUGUCCCUCUCCAGACAGUCCCCUCCCCUGCUUCUCUGCCCAAAGGAGGGAAACCCAUUUCCCUGGGAACAGCUGUGUUUCCUCAACAAACAAAUGUUCCCUUAAAACGUUUCUGAGGAAGAGCGGAUGGUAAUGAGCGAACAUCUGGCCAAGCGGCACACUUUCGUUUUUUGGCAGCUCCGGAGCCCGCCAAGUGAGUAUUCCCUAAUGUUCACCACAUCCCAGCCCCUGCUAUUCCCAAUCAGGCUUGUACCACUACGCCUCAAUUAAGAGCAGAUGCGGGGCUGAGCGAACGAGGAGGAAAAAACACCCUUCCCCAGCGUCCCUCUGCGCUGCUCAAAAUCCAGGGAAGUGGUCUGAGAACUCACAGCGACUCCAGCUUCUGCCUUUGGACUUCAUCCGUCCAUCCAUCCAUCCAUCUGUCCAUCCAUCCAGCUUCCCCUGCUGUGGCCUUUGGGGAUACAGACAUGAACAACAGAUCCUUGCCCCCAUCUGGCUCCUAGACAGUCUUCUUCCCUAUAAUACAGGCAUUGGCAAACUGGCUCUACAAAGGGCCAGAUGAAAAAUAUCUGGCUUUGCAGGCCACAUGCUCUUCGUCACAACUCUUCAACUGCACUGUUGCAGUGUGAAAACAGCCACGGACAAGUCAUAAAUGAAUGAGCACAGCUGUUCCAAUAAAACCUUAUUUACCAAAAUGGUGGCAGGCUGGAUUUAGCCCAUGGGCCAUAAUCUGCCAACCUCUGCUAUAUGACAUCCUAAGUUGAGGUGAUCACAUCUUGGGGUAUCUGCCUUAAGAAUCCCUCACCCGCUGCACUGCAUGAGCCCUGCUAUCUCCUCCCCAACCCACUCUGGUGGACUCAAUUGAUUGGCCCACCCUGGGAAGACAAGGUGGUGAUACCUGACCCAGCUGGGCUACUCAGUCUUUCUCCAGGCUUAGGAAUUGGACCAAGUGGGUCAGUUGGGUCUGGAGCUCAUUUACACUGGGAACUGAGGGGCCACCAUCUUCUUCCUGCCUCCUAGAUAGAGAUGCAGAGAAAAGUGGGCUACAGACGGUGCAAAAUUUUGGUCUGAAUAUUUGCAUGUCCUCUAAAUUCAUGUGUUAAAACCCUCACCUGCAAAGUGAUGGUAUUAGGAGGUGGGGGCUGUGGCUAGAUAUGAGGGUGGAGCCUUCAUAAGUGGGAUUGGUGUCCUUAUAAAAGAGACCCCAGAGAGACCCUUGCCCCUUUCAUCGUGUGAGGACACAGUGAGACGGCACCAUGUCUGAACCAGAAAGCAGGCCAUCACCAGAUACUGAAUCUGCCAGCAGCUUGGUCUUGGACUUCCCAGCCUCCAGAACCAUGAGAAAUAGAUCUUCGUUGCUUAUAAGCCACCCAGUUUAUGGUAUUUUGCUGUAGCAGCCAUAAGGGACUAAGACGGGAAUGAAAUAACCCAUGUGGAGAGAGGCUUCCUGGCAUCCUAAUUUGCUUUCGGACUGUCCCAUCCUGUCCUGAGCCCUGCCUACAUUACCACCCUGGAUUCCCCAGAGCCCCCUGGAUCCUUCUUAAGGAGUCUGCUUUUCUGUUGAUACUGGCUUAAGUUGGUACUUGCUUCAACUAAGCAAGCAAGGCAUUCUGCACCACUUUCUGCCUCUGCAUGCCGUUCAUUGGAUUACUGCAGGGCUUGCCCUGCAGUAGAUACCUAGGAAAGUAAGACAUGUCCUUGCCCUCCAGCAGCAGAUAGGUAACAAAAUAGGGAAGAUGGACAUCUGUGUUCCUCACUCUUGCACAAGCCACGAUGUACUUGGAGUGCGUCAACUGCCAAGGAGGAAGGGGUAUGGAGUAGGAGGUGGGGGAAAUCUGAGAGCCUUGGCAGAGGAGGCGCCUGCUGUACCCCUUGGAGGGUGAGUUGACUUUGGGCAGAAAAAUAAAGUGGAGGGGGCAGUGCUUGAGUUUAGAGCAAUAUUUUCCAAAUUAGGUUCAUAGAACGCUAAUUCCAGGAGGAGUUUUCUGGUAUCCAUCCUCUCCUUUCUUACCCAUCCACCUUUGAUUCCAUCCAAUUGAUAAUGCACUCCUUAGAAAUACUCACUCUCCCAGGCUCCUUUGCAGCUAGAGUGAUCAUGUGAUGUACUUCUGACCAAUGAGAUGUAAGCAGAAAUCAGCUGGAGGGUGCUUACAGGAUAUAAAGGUUCAAACUCACCUUUGCACCUUGCCUUCUCCUUCCUGCCUGGAAUGUAGGUGUGGUGCCUGAAGGGGCUUUUUGCAACUAUCAGGAUGAAAGCUACAUGCUAAGGAGGGCGGAGCAGGAAGCUGGAAGGAGUCUGGGUUCCGGUGCCAUGUCCGGGCCACCAUAGCCCUGGACUGCUUAUUUCUGUACUGGUUACUGAGGGAUUAGUGUCCUUAUAAAAGUCUCCCAUUUGCGACUCAACACACUUCUAACCAAUGCAAUGUUUAAUGAUAAAAGAGUUCUAAGGACCAAAUCAGUUUGUGGACACCAAUUUCCACUAUCAGAGAUUCACAAAAUAGAUUAUUACAGGUUCUCAGAAACUUAAUAUGAAGAUCACUGUUUAACCCAGUGUUUCCCAAAAUGUUUGUUCACCAACACCUCCACUGCCAGGAUGCCAAUGGGCAUCCCAUGGAACACACUUUGGGAAACAGGCUAUAGAGGAAGAAGUAUAGGCUUCAGGGUUAAGGAAGAUCUGGGUUGUAAUGCUGUGUGGCUUCAGACAUCUCAUAUAACCUCUCCAAGCCUGAGGUUCCUAUUCUAUAAAACAAGUGAGGGACAUUACAGGUUACAGAUAAUCCAGGCAAAGCGCUCGGCACCGUCUGUGGCUCCUAGUCAUCAACAAUUCUCAUUAGCUGCUAGGAUCGUGUUUUGAAAGGAAUGUAGCAUCAGAGACAGAAGAACCUGACUUGAGUGAUGGUUUGCCACUUUCUUCCUCUGUGACCCUGGGCCAGUGACUGCACUUGUCCGAGCCCCUGUGUUCUGAAUGGCGGAGCAGGAAUUACAGUGUCUACUUGGGCAAGAGGUGGUAUGUGGAAAAGCCUGGCUCCAGGAGGACCUUCCCCCAAGGAGGUCUGGAGGAGCCCAGAGCUCUGCCACCAGGCCUUGCCUCCAGUCCCUGCAGGCCAGCCCUUUGCCCCAGAAAGGCUACAGCUUUUGGCUUUUGCAUUUUCAUUUGUACGGCAUCUGCCUUGCCUCCCUGCCCACUUGUCUGU